AAAGCAGCAGCAGCAGCAGCUCGGCGUUAAUGGGUUCCUUGAGGAGAGGCCGAGGGUUAGAGCAUCCAUCCCCGCAGCCCUAUAGAGGUUCCUGCUUUGGAAACACAGUGACAUGAGAUGCUGGAACCUGGAGCUUGAUUCAAGGACCUUCCUAAAGAUGAUUUUACAGAAAAGCAGAACCUGACAGCAAGAGAAAAUAUGUCCAGAAAAAUGAUUUAUCAGCUUGUGCUGUGCUGAUGGAGAAUCCAAGUGGGGUUCUGAGUGACCUGGUCAAGUGGAAGUCUUCCCUGUCCAUGGAGUGUUGGAAUUGAAUGACCUUUAAGGUGUUUUCUAACCCAAACUCUCAUUCUGUGAUUGUAUGAAUCAGGCCAGAGUGACCUUUGAGAGCCUCAGCUCAGGUGAGGGAAGUGAGCCAUGACUUCCCACGUGGGUCAAAGGUCUUCCCUUGGAGGAGAUGGAACAUAAACUAUUAAAAAAAAAAAAAAAAAAAAAAAGGAGAGAGAGAGAUUAGAUAGAAGAUAUCAGGAGAAGGAGCCCAAACCCCACAAACAUCUGCAAAUGUGCCUACAGCCAUCUGCAACACAGAUCCAUCUGCAUCAAUCCUCCAGCAGUGCUGAAGGAAUUUGUCCCGUUCCAGGGCUGCCAGCUGUCAAGAUAAAUUGUUAAAAGCCGGUCUCACACACUGCAGCAAAUUAAACAGCGUUUGAAAAUGUGAGGGAGAGACUUCCCAAGGAAUAUGCAAGAGAUUCAUUAAUCCAAGUGAGCCCAACUUUCCAGAACACGUUGGUAAAGGUGUUGACACCUCUUUGACCCCUGUGUCCCCCUCACCUGCCCGCCUUUCACACACCCAGAUCAGGGUCAGUCCAGAAGGUCCCUCUCGGAACUCAGCCAUGGCAUUUCACAGGAUCCUCCUGGUCUCACCUCCUCCAGGGACAGCUUCUUUUCCCUUCCAGGUGAAUUUUUCCCUCCCGGCUCCCUCUGGCAGGUGGGCAGGAGGCACAGACAGGGAGCAGGAUGGGGCUCUGGAAUGUGUUACCAGUUAUUCCCACUCCUUGUUUGAAGGGUUCUGCUGUCACUGCCGGGAGCCACGAGAUCCCUCCCGUGUCCAUCCUCCCCAGGAAUUCCAUUGCUCUAGGGGAUAGGAGAAGAAUGGUUGGGAUAGGCUGAAAAAUGAGAUUACUGAUAUUUUUCCCUCUCUGCCAUGGCUUUUUAUGAAACUGGGUGCUUGGAAUCAUGGAAUUAUUUAGGUUGGAAAAAACCUCUAGGAUCACCGAGUCCAACCAUCAGUGCAGCACUGCCAAGGUCACCACUAAACCAUGUCCCCAAGUGCCACAUCCUCACAGCUUUUAAACACCUUCAAGGAUGGGGAAUCCACCAUGUCACAGACGACACGAAAAGAACUGCACGAGGACAGGCUGGUGAGCAAAGCAGGAAAAAGGGAUGAGUUUAUUUACAAAACUCAAUUUUAUACAUUUCCUGUGGUGCCUGUGGAUUGGAGGCUGGAAUUCCACCUCUCAAACCACAUUGGGCAAGCCAACUGUCAGUCAACUUUCUCCUCCUACCUAAAAAUAUGUAAACAAUUAAAGAGCAAAACAUGGCCAUUGUUUGUAGUACAAAGUGCGAUAAAGUAAAAAUUCUGACUUCAAUAUGAAGAACAAUACAGAAGGCUUAGAAAAGUCUUCAAAACCAAGGCAACAUCAUCCCUGUCCAGGGCUGCCUGUGCCAGCACUUGACAACUCUUAUGGAGAAUUUUUUCGUAAUAUCCAACCAAAUUCUUCCCCUGGUGCAACUUGAGGCCGUUAUCUCUCAUCCCAUCCCUCCUUACUUAGGAGAAGAGACCCAUCCCCACCUGGCCCCAUCCUCCUGUCAUAGGGAGUUGUGGAGAGAAGGUCCCUCCUGAGCCUCCUUUUCUCCAGGCUGAGCCCCUUUCCCAGCUCCUUCAGCUGCUCCUGGCGCUCCAGACCCUUUCCCAGCUCCGUUCCCUUCCCUGGACACUCUCCAGACCCUCAAAGUCUUUCUUGUCAUGAGGGACCCACAACUGAACCCAGGAUUUGAGGUGCUGGGUACAGGGGGAUGAUCACUGCCCUGACCCUGCUGGCCACACUGUUCCUGAUAUAAGGAUUUAAUAAUGAUUUAAACUUUCAUUUAAUAAUGAUUUUAACUGGGAUUUGAGGGAAUGGGGGUCACCAUGUGAUACAGGCAUGGAACAAAGAGGGCCUUCAAUCAAUUCAGCUUGCUGGAGAUUGAUUUAGGAAUAUCUUUUUCUUUUUCCUGCUUCUGUGUGAUAGCCACCUCUCUUGCCAAAAUGUUCAAGUGUCCACAACCAGAGGCAGAGCCCAUGAACCCAAAGUUAUCAAAAUGAUCAAGAAACUGGUUUAACAUUUUUAGACAAAAUCUUCACAGACAGGAUUAUCGAUUUAAUAACCAGGGCUAUUAAACAUGGUAGCACCACAGCAACAGAUGUCUGAACACCUCUUGUUUUGGCAGCUGGGAUAACCAAAAUAAAGAUUGUUCUAUAGCUCUCUAUAUCAGAGUUCUGGGCUACAACCUCAAAAUCAAAAGGUAAUACAGUUUCAAAAGUAGGUUAAACCCUUAAACCCCAGGUGUUUCCCUGAAUUUUGUGGCUCAGCUUUGCACAAAAAAAAAAAAAAAAAAAAAAAAAAAAAAAAAAAAAAAAAAAAAAAAAAUCCACACUUAAAAACUAAUGAUGGAAGGAGAAUGGGGAAGAGAAGGUUUUGAUUCAUCACACCUUCUUCAUCCACUUUGUUACGUCUAAUGAGACCUGAGCAUCCUCAGAGGCAUCAGCCAUGGUGGCAACAGGGAGGGUUGUGCAGCAAAACAAACAUUAGGGAAGGGAAGGUGGUUCCCAGCAACCACAGGGCAAAACCCUUUUCCUACAAGUCCCUACAAGCCUCUUCUGGCCUCUGCUGCUGUUUCUGGAGGACAGGAAAGAGCUCGUUGGGAGCUGCCCUAUACUGGCUGGUAUGAGCCUCGGAAUUUUCACUUCCUUAAGCAGUUUAAACCCCUUCCUUACAAUGCUGACUUCUGGCUCGACCACAAAUCCCUCAUCCUCAUCCUUACAACCUCCAGAUCCACACCAUCAGCACUCAACCUGGCUAACCUUUGCCACGACAGGCAAAAUAUUCCGAGUUUUUUCUCAUCUCCAGUAGCCUCUCCCUGUCCAGAUGGAUCCCAAAGUCCUUCCUGGCCAUUUGAAUUGUUCUGUAUCGAAGGUGACCCAGGAUUCUGAAUCUCACGCCAGUCACCUGCUCUCCCACAUGGUUUCCUCAUUAUUUACCUCAUCUUGCAGUGUUCUCAGACGAUCUGUCCUCUCCUUCCUAAUCACCCCCUCCUCCCCAUUUCCUCCCCACUCUGAGGUGAAUCCACCUGAAAGUCCCCGGAGUUUCUUAGGAACAGCCUGCUGAGCACAGCUCCGUGACGCCGAUGCCGGCAUUGUGAGGGCUGUGUUUUCCUGGAUAGCAUGACUGUUCCUGAGUCUUGCAAAUGAAAGGAAUUAGAGAAACAGAGGACUCGAGAGGUGUAUGAGUAAUCCAGCAUCAUCCCUGGGGACACGUGCUGGGAUAACACACAAAAACAAGCUGGGAACACAGAGUGCUUUCACCUGAGAGCUGGCUCUUCCCACUCUUCAGGAAGGGAAGUGUCAGUGCUGCAGCGAGAGAAACUGAGGCACGGGGGUUGGCAGAGAUUCAGCUGGUUUGGUGGAGAGCCUAAGGCGAAGCUCUUCAUGGUCUGUUUGGGUUGCAACUGCCUGAAUUAGGCAUUAAAGCUCAAUUUAUUUGCAUAAGAGGAAGACAAGACCGUGAACUCUAUCCUGGGGAAGCCGUGUGAGGAGCAGCUGAGGGCACUUGGUUUGUUCAGCUGGAGAAGAGGAGAUGGAGGGGAGACCCCAUCACAGUAUAAAUCUUCCUCUGGGAGGAAGAGGAUGGGCAGACACUGAACUCUGCUCUGUGGGGACCUGUGAUGGAAGCCGAGGGAAUGGCCUGGAGCUGUGUCAGGGGAGGUUUAGGUUGGAUUUCAGGAAAAGGUUCUUCCCCCAGAGGGUGUCUGGGCACUGGAACAGCUCCCACGGAAUGGUCACAGCACCAGGACUGACAGCAUUCAUGGGGUGUAUGGACAACGCUCUCGGGCACAUGGUGGGAUUGUUGGGGUGUCCUGUGCAGGGCCAGGAGUUGGAGUCUGAUCCUUGGGGGUUCCAGCUCAGGUUAUGCCGUGGUUCUGUUACUCUGUUAUUCUGUGGUUCUGUGACCCACAGCAGUCGCGUGUUCCAGUGCAUUUGGACCCCUCCACGAUUACCCCCAGCUUGGCUCUCCCUCACCUCACCGCCCCCACCCGCACUAACAUACAACAUCCCAGUGAAGCCUCUCACACUUCCUACAGCCAGAUGGCCAAAGUCUUGUCUUCACCUCGUCUUUGGGUUGCCCUGGAGCCUGGUUUGGGGCCACCUGGCCAAGGAACGAGCACCAAAAUCACCCCACCACCCAAGGACGCCGCCACGGCGCCGCGUUCGUGCGGAGCUGGGAUCCGUUCCGCCCACCGACUUCCCCACCUCCAAAGUCUGCAGCUCGGCGAGGGGAAGGAACAUUCCAUAGAAGGGAAGGAAUCUCUGCCAGGAGCUGCAGAAGUGGGACACAGAUGGUGCCUGAAACGAGAGCGGAAGUUUAUCUGGGGGCUCUGCCCGUGACGUCGCGCUGCGGAUCCUGCGGCAGAUCACAGGCACUGGGAUUUCAGAGCGGGUGAGGAGUUCAGUUUGGGGGAGUCUCUGUAUGCUAUUAGAGAUAUUAGUUUGACUGAAAAAAAAUUUAAAAAAGGGAAAAAAUGAAAAAUAAAAAAUAAAAAAUAAUAAUUUAAGGAUAGGAGUGUUUAAAUUUGCUUUUGCUCAUGUGUAGGUCUGGUUCUUCUGACAGCCUGAUCUUGAUCCCUUUGCUGGCUGGGUCAGCCAGGAUGGUUGUGCAGAUUGGCCAGGUGGACACUGCUGAUGGAAAAACCUGAGGAUGACACUGGCCUGGCUUUUCCCUGCCCUACACAUAAAAUUUUACCUUUGUCCUCUGCUUGCCGAGGAGUUGGAGGAGAUUUCUGGACAUCUUCUCGUGCAACUCUCUGCUGCAGCAGGGCCACCCAGAGCCAGUCCCCCAGGGCCACAGCCACGUGGCAUUUUAAAAGUUCUCAGAAUGGAAACUCCACAACCUCUCGGGGCAACCAAUCCCUCUCAUCCUCUCCUCAUAAGAAGGGGGCUCCAGUCCUUUAAUUACAUUCAUCUGGGUGUGUUCAGCCUCGAGAAGAGAAAACUGAGAGGGGACCCCAUCUCUGUCUGUUCCUGCCUGCAGGGAGGGCUCUGAGCAGGGCCAGGCUCUGCUCUGUGGGGCCCAGCAAUGGCACAGGAGGAACAGGCAGGGACUGAUCCCAGGGAGUUCCACCUGGACAUGAGGCAGAACUUCUUCCCUGAGCAGUGACCAAACCCUGAACAGAGACCAGGGCGGGUGUGGAGUGUCCCUCACUGGAGAUAUUCCAGAAUUUGGACACAAUCCUCUGCCUGUGCUCUGGGAUGGCCCUGCUGGAGCAGGGAGGUGGCACCAGGUGACCCCACUGUGGUCCCUUCCAGCCUGACCCUUUCUGUGAUUCUGUGAUCGCCCUCCUGGCCCUUGGCUGGAUCCUCCUGGCUGUCCAGGUCUCUCCUGCACUGCAGAGCCCAGCCCUGGGCACACAAAACUGCAGGAAAACUCUGCUGAAGCCCGGGGUUGAACCAGGGACCUUUAGAUCUUCAGUCUAACGCUCUCCCAGCUGAGCUACUUCAGCUCUGCUCUGGCUCAGAUUUUCCCAAAACCUGUUGAAAUAUGAGGAUCUUUCAGCCUUUUCAGGCAGCCUUUGGUUUACUUGAUCUUGAGAAUCAAAGAAUUGUUCCAGGGAACAGGAUAGAGACAGACUGAGAUCAAAAGAUAUGGUUCAAGACACAUGAAAGUGUCCAAGGCCAGGUUGGAUGGGGGUUGAAGAAACCUGGGACAGUGGAAAAUGUCCCUGCCCAUGCCAGGGAUUGGAAAGAGAUUAUAUUUAAGGUCCUCUCAGUCUGAAACAUUCUGGGGUUCUGUGAUAAAACACAGCUAAAUCUGGAAUUAAGCAGCUGCCCUGAUCUGGGAACCAGCCAAGAGCAGUAGCAUUGAACAGAAUUUCCUGACACCCUUUCACAGAGCCCACGGAAGGAUCUGGAAUUAUCCAUAGAGCCUGGCUAAUCUUUUCACAUCAAUCUGUCUUUCUCCACCUCAGGAAUGGGAGCCAGGCAUCUUCAUGCAGUGAUAUGGGAGAUGUUUGCCCAGCCCACCAACUCAUCCUGCAAAUAAUUCGCUCCUGGGACAAUCUCCCAUCUUUCACCAGCUCCACAUUCACAUCUUCCCAAAAUACAUAUGUGGAGUGCACACUGUUUCCGAAUUUCUGGGGAGGGAGAUCCACGCGUUUGGAUCCAGGCUGGACGGAGCCAGAGCAGAUGAAAGCCUUCCCAAGGCCAGUGGUGCCACCUAAUGGGAAAAUUCCCGGGGAAUCCGCGUCUCGGAAGUUCGGUCCUUAUCUGGAGUGUUGCUAGGUGACGUAGAGAUGGAAAUGAGGAGCUCUGACGUCAGUCCCUCUUUUCUGCUGCCUUACGACCAUUCCUCUGUCAAUCCAUCCCCUUUUCCCAGGCAUCCGAGCCACGGGCAGGAAAAAGCCCCGGGAAAUUUGUUCUAUUUCCUGCUUGAAUCCAAUCUCUGCAAUCCCUGGAGCUCCUGAAGCGUUUUUGUCCUUGACACCCAGUCUGUAUGCAGAGGAAAUAAUCCCAGAUUUUGGGGUUAUGGAGAGCCAAGCAGAAAACAAGAUGGAACGAGGGGCUGCCAUGGGAGAGAUCAGGACCCUGAGGUUUUUCUUAUUUGUAGAUUUUUGCAAAUGAGGGGCGAGACAACUUCUCUGCACUGCAACACCCACGCCCAGAUCCAUCUGGAACCACACUGUGGCUCUGCAAAAGAAGGAAUAAUAUCUCAAAUACCUCAAAAGUUCCCACCUGGCAGCCCCCCGCAGCCACUCCAAGUCAUGGAUAACCACGAGAGUGGGUGGGAAUGGGCUGCCAAGCCUGUCCUGGUCUCCAGGGAUUAUUGUAUUCCCCGACUGGGUUGUUUUCCCAGCACUUACACCCAUUUUUCCACAACAGCGUCACUCACCACUGCUUCCCUGCCACCUCUACUUUUCAGAAAUGUGUUACAGGGGGUAGAGCAGGUCUUUCUCAGGUCUCAUCUCAGCUCUCCUGUUGAUGAAUCAUGAGGUUUAAUCUGUCUCAGGCAGGCUUUCUCUUUUUCCUUUUCUUUGAAAUUCAAGUUAUUUCCAAGAUUCUUUCAAUUUCUUUCUGCGAUAAACAUGUUUGCAAGGGCUCAUAAGAAGAAAAUUAUGUAAUGUGAUGUCAAAGCCUUGUUUCUGCUCUUCUGGGGAGAGGGCAACAGUGAAGGGAGAAGAAGAUCCAACCCCCCCUUCAGUGCCUCACUGACACAAAAUGUCACUACUAAAGGCAAGAAGUGAGCUCAGAGAGCUCCUGUGCAAUUCCAUGGCUGGAGGAGGGGUUAACAUUCAGGGCAAAUGGGAGGAACCUUUAAUUAAGCAGACUCAAAUCAUUAAUUCUGGCAAGGAGCUGAGCUCUGCUGGUAGUGACGACUCUGCAGCUGUGGCUGGUGCUGCUCAACACCUGGAACACUGCCUGGCAGAGGUGGUCAGGCACCAGUGACGUCCUCAGAGGAUCAUAAAACCAUGGAAUGGUUUGGGUUGGAAGGGACCUCAAAGAUCAUCGAGUUCCAACACCCCUACUAUGGGCAGGGACACCUUUCACUAUCCCAGGGUGCUCCCAGCUCUGUCCAACCUGGCCUUGGACACUGCCAGGGAUGGGGCAGCCACAGCUUCUCUGGACAGCCUGUGCCAGGCCUCACAACUCUCCCAGGGAAGAAUUCCUUCCCUAUAUCCCAUCUAACCCUGCCCCCUGUCAGUUUGAAUCCAUCCCUCUUCUCCUGACACUCCAGGCCCUUUUCCAAAGUCUCUCUCCAGUUCUUUUGGAGCCCCUUUAGGCACUGGAAGAGGCUCUGAGGUCUCCCUGGAGCCUUCCCUUCUCCAGGCUGAACAAACCCAGCCUUUCCUCAUAGCAGAGGAGCUUUAUUUCUCUAACAAUCUUUGUGGUUUCCUCUGGACUGACUCCAGACUAAACAGCCCCCACAUCAGUGGCUCAGCAUUACCACCAAUUUACAGAGCAGCCUGUGCCAUAAGAGUGGGAACAAUGUAAGGAACAAAAAUCCCUUUAUAUCACAAUUUUUGCUGAAGUACUGGAAUUGCAAAACCCUGUCCCCCUUUCACAGGCUCAGACUGGUCGAGGUCUAAAGCCCUGCUCAAGCAGGACCUACAGCCCCUAUGCCAGGAUCACUUCCAGGUCCCUUGGGGAUGUGUCUAAGGAGGGGAACUCCACACUCUCUCAAGGCCACCGCACCCAGCUCCUCAUCCUUUCCCCACAGCAGAGAUGCUCCAGUGCCCUCCAGUCCCCUCCAAUCCCCUCCAGUGCCCUCCAGUCCCCUCCAGUGCUCCCGGCCCUUGGCUGGAUCCCUCCUGGCUGUCCAGGUCUCUCCUGCACCACAGAGCCCAGCCCUGGGCACACAAAACUGCAGGAAAACUCUGCUGAAGCCCGGGGUUGAACCAGGGACCUUUAGAUCUUCAGUCUAACGCUCUCCCAGCUGAGCUACUUCAGCCCUGAUAUUGGGGUUUGUUUCCCUAUAAACAACAGGGGAACACACUGGAACACUUUAGCCUGGAAAAUACAAAUUUUAGGGAGAGGGGUUGCUUCAAGAUCAGUUGUGAUUGAUGCUAAAAACCACUUUCAUGGGUAAGGGGUUUUUCCUAUUCCCAAAAUCCAGUUCUGAUUUCCUGCUAGGCCUGUGGGUCAACCUUUCCACUUCUCCUCAGGGAAUUCUGUGGCAUAGGACUGGGAACAGGCAGUGAAAGCAACAAAAAUCCCUUUGUAUCACAAUUUUUGCUGAAGUACUGGAAUUGUAAAACCCUGUCCCUCCUUCACAGGCUCAGAAUGGUUGAGGUCCAAAGGGAACUCAUGGAGGUCCCUGCUCCUGAUGCCUUGGGAAGGCUGACCUGGAACAGAGACUGGAUAAAGCUAGAGAGUAAAGCAGAUAUUUACUGAAAGGCCUUUAAGGAUACAGCUUGGGCAGGACAAGAGCCUGGCCAGGGCUACACUCAAGGUGGGCCCCAAAUGGUCAUAAAAUGGACAAUCAGUCACGAGGUCUCCACUUUUAUGAGUUUUGGUCCAUGUGCAUAUUGGGGUUUAAUUGUCCAAUUACAGCUCCAAGUUGUGAAAUCCCACCCUUCUUGUUUUCUCCCUUCAGUCCACCCUUGUUUGUGCUUUUGGGCCUGAAAGUUGUACUCGUUGUCCUUGGUCUCCAGCAGGAAAAUGAUUUGUUUUGUCUCCCUACUCUGUGAAGAGAGCUGAGUGACCCUGAAUGUGAGGCCCACAACUGCACCCCUGGGCAGCACAGAAUCGGAAAAACAGGAAAACUGAAACUUAAGGCAUCACUCCAAAGCCCUGCUCAAGCAGAACCUACAGCCCCUUGCCAGGAUCACUUCCAGGUCCCUCGGGGAUGUGUCUAAGGAGGGGAACUCCACACCGCACCCAGCUCCUCACCCUUUCCCCACAGCAGAGAUGCUCCAGUGCCCUCCAGUGCCCUCCAGUGCCCUCCAGUCCCCUCCAGUCUCCUCCAGUGCUGCUGGCCCUUGGCUGGAUCCCUCCUGGCUGUCCAGGUCUCUCCUGCACUGCAGAGCCCAGCCCUGGGCACACAAAACUGCAGGAAAACUCUGCUGAAGCCCGGGGUUGAACCAGGGACCUUUAGAUCUUCAGUCUAACGCUCUCCCAGCUGAGCUACUUCAGCCCUGAUAUUGGGGUUUGUUUCCCUAUAAACAACAGGGGAACACACUGGAACACUUUAGCCUGGAAAAUACAAAUUUUAGGGAGAGGGGUUGCUUCAAGAUCAGUUGUGAUUGAUGCUAAAAACCACUUUCAUGGAUAAGGGGUUUUUCCUAUUCCCUAAAUCCAGUUCUGAUUUCCUGCUAGGCCUGUGGGUCAACCUUUCCACUUCUUCUCAGGGAAUUCUCUGGCAUAGGACUGGGAACAGGCAGUGAAAGCAACAAAAAUCCCUUUGUAUCACAAUUUUUGCUGAAGUACUGGAAUUGUAAAACCCUCUCCCUCCUUCACAGGCUCAGAAUGGUUGAGGUCCAAAGGGAACUCAUGGAGAUCCCUGCUCCUGAUGCUUUGGGAAGGCUGACCUGGAACAGAGACUGGAUAAAGCUGGAGAGUAAAGCAGAUAUUUACUGAAAGGCCUUUAAGGGUACACCUUGGGCAGGACAAGAGCCUGGCCAGGGCUACACCCAAGGUGGGUCCAAAAUGGUCACAAAAUGGACAAUCAGUCACGAGGUCUCCACUUUUAUGAGUUUUGGUCCAUUUGCAUAUUGGGGUUUAAUUGUCCAAUUACAGCUCCAAGUUGUGAAAUCCCACCCUUCUUGUUUUCUCCCUUCAGCCCACCCUUGUUUGUGCUUUUGGGCCUGAAAGUUGUACUCGUUGUCCCUGGUCUGCAGCAGGAAAAGGAUUUGUUUUGUCUCCCUGCUCUGUGAAGAGAGCUGAGUGACACUGAAUGUGAGGCUCAGAACUGCACCCCUGGGCAGCACAGAAUCGGAAAAACAGGAAAGAUAAAACUUAAGGCAUCACUCCAAAGCCCUGCUCAAGCAGGACCUACAGCCCCUUGCCCAGGAUCACUUCCAGGUCCCUCGGGGAUGUGUCUAAGGAGGGGAACUCCACACUCUCUCAAGGCCACUGCACCCAGCUCCUCAUCCUUUCCCCACAGCAGAGAUGCUCCAGUGCCCUCCAGUGCCCUCCAGUGCCCUCCAGUCCCCUCCAGUGCCCUCCAGUCUCCUCCAGUGCUGCUGGCCCUUGGCUGGAUCCCUCCUGGCUGUCCAGGUCUCUCCUGCACUGCAGAGCCCAGCCCUGGGCACACAAAACUGCAGGAAAACUCUGCUGAAGCCCGGGGUUGAACCAGGGACCUUUAGAUCUUCAGUCUAACGCUCUCCCAGCUGAGCUACUUCAGCUCUGCUCUGGCUCCAGUUUGUCCCAAAAUCUGUUGGAACACGAUGAGAUUCCAGACUUUCUCCAUUCAAACCAGUUUGCCCAACACUCCUCCGAGAAGAACCAUGGAAUGGUUGGGGUUGGAAGUGACUUUUUACCUCAUUUCUUGAAGCAGGGACACCUCCCACUGUCCCAGCUUUAUCCAAGCCCCAUCCAGCUUGGCCUUGGACACUUCCAGGGAUGGGGCAGCCACAGUUUCUCUGGGCAACCCAUUCCAGUGUUGGAAUGCUGUGACUGACCACACAACAAAACAAGAGAGAACAAAUCUCAGGAAAACCCAGGCCAGGAGCAGCCUCUCCCCACAAAUGAGAGGUUUCCCUAUUGGAGCAUCAGCUGGGAAGCCAACAUGGAAAACAGACUGGAAAACUUUUCAGUUCUCUUGGACUAUUAAGUCAUACAUUGCACCAAAAUGUGCAGUUUUUUAACUGCACUUAAAUCACUCUAAACUACAUCAAUUGCCUCCAAUCAUCCCUCUUCUUUCCAAAUGCUGGCACUUUUUUUGUUUCAGAACACUGCAAUCCUGCCAUCUUCUAUGUAAUUAUAUAACAUAUGUAGUUCAUUGCUGCCUUUCCAAUAAAUAAGUCUUAUG